rnacentral:rRNA from 1 species
UGAGGAAUUUUGCGCAAUGGGGGCAACCCUGACGCAGCGACGCCGCGUGGGUGAUGAAGGUUUUCGGAUCGUAAAGCCCUGUCAAGUGGAAAGAAAGGCGCAUGGAAUAACACGACAUGCGAUUGACGGUACCACUAAAGGAAGCACCGGCUAACUCCGUGCCAGCAGCCGCGGUAAUACGGAGGGUGCGAGCGUUGUUCGGAAUUACUGGGCGUAAAGGGCGCGUAGGCGGCAUUAUAAGUCAGAUGUGAAAGUCCUCGGCUUAACUGGGGGAGUGCAUCUGAAACUGUGAUGCUUGAGUAUGGGAGAGGAAAGUGGAAUUCCCGGUGUAGAGGUGAAAUUCGUAGAUAUCGGGAGGAACACCUGUGGCGAAAGCGACUUUCUGGACCAAUACUGACGC